UUGAACAAAUCUUACGAACAGAUAUGAGCCAAGAAAAUGUUACGAUACAAUACAGCUCAGAUGUGAUCAAUAAAACCGUGGGUACAAAAGUAGCGCAGGUGCAGUUUUUAGCCGUAACGCCUGGUCUUCGACAAAUAUGCCUGAAUGCCACAGAUCGUUUUGACUGGACAGUAAGAUGCCUUUUUGUAACAGUUGAAAGACAAGACCCAUGUGAAUUCAAUCCAUGUCAGAACAAUGGUGUAUGUACAUCUUAUAAAGAUCGAUCUGGUUUUACAUGCUUUUGCAGUAAACAACACGA